AGAACGAACGCUGGCGGCGUGGAUAAGACAUGCAAGUCGAACGCGACUUAUCAGAUUAGCAAUAAUUUGGUAAGUUGAGUGGCGAAAGGGUGCGUAACACGUGGGAAUUUACCAAGAAGUGGGGAAUAGCUCGACGAAAGUCGAAUUAAUACCGCAUAUGAUCGCAAGAUCAAAGCCGGGGACCGCAAGGCCUGGCGCUUUUUGAGAAGCCCGCGGCCCAUCAGCUAGUUGGCGGGUAACGGCCCACCAAGGCUAUGACGGGUAGCUGGUCUGAGAGGACGACCAGCCACACUGGAACUGAGACACGGCCCAGACUCCUACGGGAGGCAGCAGUGGGGAAUAUUGCGCAAUGGGCGAAAGCCUGACGCAGCGACGCCGCGUGGGGGAUGAAGGCCUUCGGGUUGUAAACCCUUUCAGCAGGGACGAAGCGAAGUGACGGUACCUGCAGAAGAAGCGCCGGCUAACUACGUGCCAGCAGCCGC
rnacentral:rRNA from 1 species